CAAAUCCCUCCAUUAUGUUUAACUAUAAUACACCAAAAAAAGAUGUGGGGGGAAGAGUUAAAAAGGAAAAAAUAAAUAAAAAUAAAAAUUUUAAAUCAUUUUUUUAAAAAAAGAAAUGACUAGGGGGAGAAAUAGAAACAGUAGAUAUAUAGACACACCUUUGAAUUUUUUUUUCUCUGAAAAGAAGAAGAAGUAGGACAGUAGCUAGAAAGGAAUGAGGGACUCAAAUGAGAAUUUUCUUUCUCUUUCCAGUUCUUUGUCUUAAUUGGGGAAAAUUUUUGCCUGUUUUUAAAAGCUCUAAUUGAAAAAGAGUUUGAGCAUUCAGAUUAGAGAAAAGACCAUCUAUAAUUUAAGAUUGCUGAGAAGGCGGAAGCAGAAAAAAAUAAAAGAGGAAUAUUUGGCCUUAAGAGAAAUAGUUAUAACUCUAUGGUAAAAGAAGGAAAAUAGAACAGUGGAUAGAGAUGCAGUUAAGGCUGUGAUUUGGAAAUGGGACUUAUUAGAUAUGGAAAAUGACAAACCCCAAAAGUAGUGAGUCCUGGGGAAAGGGGGAGUGAGAAGGAAAGCCAUACAUUGAGAGCAUUGAUCCUUUCCCAAUACAUUCUUUCCCUAUGAUAAAACAAACCCUGGGGAAGAGGUGUCCAUCAAACCUGGAAAGGUAGUCUCUGGGAAGAGGCCAAAGCAUUAAUCCUUCUGUAAACAAAUCCUUUCCAGAUACCAACCACUGACCCCAGGCCCUCCAUCAGGUCCAAUAAGAUAAAUCCCAGAAACUGAUCACUGACCCUAUACUCCCUCCCAUUUCACUGCGUAAAACAGACCCCAAAUUCCUAAGCACUAAAACUGACCCCUUCACUGAUUGAUAGAACAAACUCGAAAUUCCUGGGUGCCCAAAGAAAAUUGAUAUGUUCAUUAGAUUACCUCUCAGAAUAACCUAUAUAAGCCCAAGCCCUUUCUUUGAUAGGGGGCUCAUUUUCCACUAGGAAAGUGGGUCCCACACUCCUCCUUUCUUCUCUGCACCCC
rnacentral:lncRNA from 1 species